UACGGAGGGUGCGAGCGUUGUCCGGAAUCAUUGGGCGUAAAGGGCGCGUAGGUGGCCCGGUCAGUCAGUGGUGAAAGCGCGGGGCUCAACUCCGCGUCGGCCAUUGAUACUGCGGGGCUGGAGCACUGUAGAGGCAGGCGGAAUUCCGGGUGUAGCGGUGGAAUGCGUAGAGAUCCGGAAGAACACCGGUGGCGAAGGCGGCCUGCUGGGCAGUAGCUGACACUGAGGCGCGACAGCGUGGGGAGCAAACAGG
rnacentral:rRNA from 1 species